UUAUCACUAAUAGUUGCCACGCGUCAGUCUCACAUUCAUUUAACCUAUCCCCUCAAAAAUUUUACCCGAAUUCAAUAAUUAGUCUUGAUCCGACCCAUUAACCGAUCCGAUAUAACAAAAAUUCUCACCCACUUCUCUCUUUUACGAGUUCAUUCUCUUCUUCUUCCUUCACUUGGAUUUCAACCAAAAACCCUAGCCUACCAUUAAUGAAAGAGGAGGUUUGAUGUGUUCACCUGCACAGACAAUUGGCCCAUCUACUGCGUAUUCUUGAACACAUAUUGAUGCAAUAUAUACACAUCUCACACCUCCAUUUCAAAGGAUUGAUCAAAUAUUUUGGGAUUUAUCAAUUUUACAAUAUUUUUCUUAUUCCACAACUUCCAUGUCUGAAGAGCAAAGGCAUAGACAAACAGUGAAAAAAAUAUUUCAGAACUUUCUUGAUUUUCCUCUUUCUUUUAUUAGUCCUCUUUUUAUGAAUAUAAAUGAUAAAUUUAUUUUCCUAUUGCUUUUGUAGAGUAAAUUUCAUACAUGAUCACUUAAUUUUGUGUCUA
rnacentral:lncRNA from 1 species